rnacentral:lncRNA from 1 species
CAAAUUCAUAAUUAAAGCAGGAACACUAAUUCGUUUUCAUCACAAACAUGAAAAGAUUGUUUUAUAUUGUAGGUCGCAGAAACUUGGCCAGAAAGCCCGGCCUUGAACCUUGUCAUGCAAGGUCUCUGUGUUGCCCUGUGGGUCUUUGUGACCUGGACUUGGUCCAUGACUGGCCACGUUCAGACAAAACAGAGGAACCUCUGAGGGAUUGAGUCACAGUCUAAGAACACUUACAACAGUUAGUAAUUCAUCUGGUUCAUCACUCUUGAGACACUACAAUGGUCCAGAUCCUGAGUGUAAUAAUAUUCUAAGAAGAAGUGACAAUAACUAAGAAAAAAAAGAAUUAAAAUUAACAGUAUUUAACCAG